rnacentral:misc_RNA from 1 species
UGCGGAGGUCAUUACCGAGUUGAUUCGGGCUCCGUCCCGAUCCUCCCACCCUUUGUAUACCUACCUCUGUUGCUUUGGCGGCCGCGGUCUUCCGCGGCCGCCCCCCGAUUUUGGGGGGUGGCUAGUGCCCGCCAGAGGACUAUCAAACUCCAGUCAGUAAACGUUGCAGUCUGAAAAAAAUAUUAAAUAAACUAAAACUUUCAACAACGGAUCUCUUGGUUCUGGCAUCGAUGAAGAACGCAGCGAAAUGCGAUAAUUAAUGUGGAUUGCAGAAUUCAGUGAAUCAUCGAAUCUUUGAACGCACAUUGCGCCCCUUGGUAUUCCGGGGGGCAUGCCUGUUCGAGCGUCAUUUCAACCCUCAAGCUCUGCUUGGUAUUGGGCACCUGCCUUUGCGGGCGCGCCUCAAAGACCUCGGCGGUGGCGUCUUGCCUCAAGCUUAGUAGAAUACACCUCGCUUCGGAGGGUAAGGCGUCGCCCGCC